AUGCAUGAUCAAUUAACGCACGAGAGGUUCGUUCUGCUGGUGGUCACCCUUUGGGCCACAUGGAGAGCACGACGUAAGGCGAUAUAUGAAGGGGUUUUUCAGAGUCCUGAAGGAACUAACCAGUUCAUCAAGUCAUACAUAGUGGACCUGCAAACUAUCGCUGCUGUGGGCAGUGGUCAGGAACAACAUCAAGCGGCGAGACCUAGCCACUGGAUUGCACCACCGGACACGUAUGCGAAGAUCAAUGUGGAUGCGGCGACCGCAACCAACCGAGGAGUUGCUGCUGCUAUCUGUCGAGAUCAAGCUGGCAUUUUUCAAGGUGCUUCGGCUCUGGUUAUCAAGGGAACCAAUGAUCCACCAACGCUCGAAGCAUUAGCAGUCAGAGAGGCUUUGGCGCUUGCCGAUGAUCUUAAUAGCCGCAGAAUACAUGUCGCUUCUGACUGCAAAGUUGUCCUGGACGACAUCAAGAACAAAACACCGGCUAUCUAUGGAGCUAUUCUGCAUGAAAUCAUAGAUCAUAGUUCCACUUUUAUUUCAUGUACCUUUGUGCAUGAGUUUAGGAGCUCGAAUUUCGAGGCUCACAAUCUUGCGAAGCAUAGUUUGAAUUUGGGGGUUGGCCGCCAUGUGUGGUUAGGCAAUCCUGGUAAUCUUUCUUUUGUACCUUUAAACAUUGGCACAAGUUAA
rnacentral:rRNA from 1 species